UGGGUGAUCUGCCCUGCACUUUGGGAUAAGCCUGGGAAACUGGGUCUAAUACCGAAUACACCUUGCUGGCUGCAUGGCCUGGUGGGGGAAAGCUUUUGCGGUGUGGGAUGGGCCCGCGGCCUAUCAGCUUGUUGGUGGGGUGAUGGCCUACCAAGGCGACGACGGGUAGCCGGCCUGAGAGGGUGUCCGGCCACACUGGGACUGAGAUACGGCCCAGACUCCGUACGGGAGGCA
rnacentral:rRNA from 1 species